GACUAUGCUAGUUGUAUGCGUGUAAGAGACCCACAAGCAAACGAGGACGCCACUCGGGGGGAGGGCAGGGAUCCCCACUUGUCUUUUUUGUAUUUUUUAUUUUGUAUUAUUGAAAGCCUUGGAGAUCUCACAGAUAUGCCAAAUUCUAUAUUUUGUAAAUUCUCUAUAUUAGAAAACAGCCGUGCACAGCGAGGCGUGUGCUCAUUUGUACUGUGCGUAUGUUGGCGUAUGUACUGGUGUAUAUGUGUGUGUGUUCAUGCUGUGGAACUGGUCUCACACAGGAUGCGUUUCCCUCCUUUCAGAUUUGGCAGUUUUGGGUUUUCGCAGGUACCACCAGAGCAGUGGGUGUGUGCUUUUGGGGUACCAUAUGCUCAGCUUAAGGAGGAGGAUGCAUGGACACAUUGCCCCAUCUUUCUCUGACACACGCACACGUGUGUACACACAUGCACACACCCUGCUUCCCCUAAGCAAAACGCAGAUGGAAUGAUAAACAAAAAGCUGCUUUCCCAUCCCAGGCCGAGCUGGAACCAAGGGAAGCAACCUCAUCCUGAGGCAGGCAGUGUGGCGCCCUCCACCCUCCACGCCCUGAGAUUUCAGACGUUUGCUGCUUACAGAGGCGGCUCCCCCGGAUUCUGGAGUGCUUACAGAAGGCCGGGUGCUUUGCAGGCUGGGGCAAGAAAGCCAAGCCUCCCUGGCCUACUCAGUCGGCCAAGGUGCAGGUGGCUCUUCCGGGAGCUGUGCACUCAGACAGGGUUGCACUCAGACAGGGUUGCAAUGUGCAGCCCUCAGGUUUGAGGAAAGGGAGUGGCCUUGACCUCCACCGGCAAACCAGGCAGAGGAAUGGGUAGAGCCCAGCUUUAGAGUCCACAGGGAAAGCUAGCAGGAAUUUUGUUUUAUCGGGAGAAGGCAGUUAAAUAUACCAAGAAAAAAAUACUAUUUUUAUAAGCUAUGAGGAAGGCAUUUGGAAAAUGAUACUCUACCACAGAAUUCGAUGGACUCCUUAGGGCCCAUGCCCAAAUCUUCCCAUUGCUUCUCAGGUUAGAAUGAUCCUCACCUCCAACAUGAGCUUGGAGGCGAUGAGGCGGUGGCUCUGUGCCAGCUGCCACAAUGUGACUUUGAUAUCCACCUGCACCACCUCUCACUGGGCUCUAGCACCACCCUCCCCUCGCCGCACACUAAUCCCACCACAAUUCGAACACAGCUCUGAGAAACAAAGUGUGCGGACCCAAAACUGCCAAGCCUGAGUCUGUCCCGUGCUUCUGCUGCUCCAUCCUUUGAGUUCUGCAUUGCCAUCCUGCCGUCGAGGGCUGGAGGCCUGCUUUCUUCCAGCUGUUGUUCUCAAGUUCCCUGCCCCUCCACAUCGCCCGCCAGUGGUGUUGGGUUUUCGUUCUGCUUCCAACCUGAGUAAAGUGUGUGUGCUGAGUUCAUCCCGUGUUCCCCCAUGGUCAUGGCCUCCCGGCCCCAUGGGGACCCCUCUCUCAUCCCAGCAGUGACUGGUGACAGCGUGCAGGUGCAGUGCUAGCUCUUCGUUCCCUCUAAGGGGUGUGCACUCUUUUUAUUCCUACUCUUGCAAAAACAGAUACGAUUAUGAUUUCCCAUGGAAAUUGAAAAGUCUAUUUAAAUAAUUUAACUAUUAAACACUUUCACUGGUAA
ensembl:lncRNA